rnacentral:lncRNA from 1 species
UCGUAAUGGUUAUACACUUCAUCAAGAUACUUAAUCAACUGUUGCUAUCGUUUCCCAAUUGGAAAGACCUGACUCCUCAAUAAGUCUAUUUUCCUAGCCAUGCUUCUUGCCUUGUAAGCCACUUCCCUGAUUUGCCUAACGAAGUAAUCCAUCUGGUUGUGUUUUUCCACAUAAGCUUGUCUGUAGGAUUCACCCCACUCUUGAAAUCGAGUGCUCUCUUGCGUUAGGUGUUCAUAUUCCUGUUGAUAAGUCGUCAUGACCCUUUUGAGCUCUUCAUACUCUUGUCUUAGUAAUUGGAUGGACUUUUGUUAGAAUCGCACUUGAUUUCUCAAUCCAUCAUUGUACGCUUGAAGCUCAUUGCCUUGGUUUUCUUUCGCUUGUAUUUCCCUUUGGAGUUCACUGGUCGUGGCAGAAAACUCGUUAUUCAGGCUCUCAUACUUUUUUUCCCAAUCACGUUCUAUUUUUCGAAUUUUCUUUACGUUUUAUUUUUUGAAUUUUCUUUCUUUGUUUGGCUGCUCUAUAUUCAUCUUUUCACACCUUUUUUGGAGAUCUUCAUAUUGUUGUUUUCAACUGGUGUUGUCAGCUUCAGACUUCUUUCGAGCCAAUUCACUUCCGAGCAAAGCAUCUCGAGGUUCCGGAUAGCUUGGGCCACGAGGUCCAUCUUCCUUCGGGUAUACCACAUCCUUAACUCGUCGAGCAUGCCACACUAGAUACCCAGUAGUAACUUCAUCAGUGUACCUUCAUUGGUUGACUCAACUUGUCUUUUUCCAAGCUCGUGCAAUCUCCUCGAUCCUUAUCAGAAAACCUGGCUCUUCAUAAGCAAACUCCAAAGUGUUAAGUUGGUGUGUCAUAGACACAAAUUGCUCUAACCCAAAUUGUCUUCUCACCAUAAUUAGGGCAUAGCUGAUCGCUCCCCAUGGCCCAAUUAAUGGUACCUAGGGUUCAUCCUGGCAUUUAUACAUGACUAGGUGAUGCGGCAUCCAUGGAGCUCUCCAUGUUACCUCCACGCUUAUGAGUUUCCUGAGCCUAGAAAUCCAUUGCUCCGUAGUCUUGUUUGUCGGCCAUUUACUUUCACAAAAUUCUCUAAUAGGGGCACUUUGCAGAUGAAAUGGCUUUCUAAACUUUUUGACCUUCCAUUUAAAGUGACUUACUAUCUAGAUGGAAAGAAGCUGUG